CUGAUGAUCUAUUUGGAGGGUGAAGAAAGAAAAAGAACUAUCUCCUCAGAGUUUGGAAAGAUCUCUUAGCAUCUAGCUUUUCAGUGUUCUAAUCAUCUAAUCGUCGUGUGCUGGUCGAUUAAAGAACGCUGCUAUAGCAGUAGCUGCAAUAUCAAUAUGCACAAACCUGAGUGGAUGGGAAUUCAUGAUAUUCUUAGGGUUCAAUGCUGCAAUUAGUGUGAGGAUUUCUAAUGAACUUGGGGCAGGCAGACCAAGGGCAGAUGUCUGCCACAUUGGUUGGCAUAGCUUUCAUGAUCCUUAUCUUGGCUCUGAAAAAUGUUUAUGCUCUCCCAUUCACAAAUAAUCCCGAAGUUGUCGCUGUCGUCUCCGACCUUGCCAUCAUUUUCUCAUUCACAUUGCUGCUCAACAGUGUGCAACCCGUCUUGACAGGUGUUGCAGUAGGAGCUGGUUGGCAAUGGCUGAUAGCCUAUGUGAACGUUGGAUGUUACUAUAUUGUCGGUCUUCCACUGGGAUACGUACUUGAUUCUUAUCUGGACAUGGGUGUGAAGGUAAACUCAUCUAUGAUGAUAUACCAAAAACUACCGCCUAUAUGUGAGACUGAUCCAGAUAUAAUGUUUCACUGAUUGGGAUGAUUUCUGGAGUUGUCUUGCAAACUUUGAUUUCUGGAGUUUGGAUUGGGAUGAUUUCUGGAGUUGUCUUGCAAACUUUGAUUCUUACUGGCAUUACCCUUGGCACAGAUUGGAACAAAGAGGCUCUGAUGGCAAAAUCUAGAAUAAAUCAAUGGGGAGGAUCAGUAGCCCCUCAGGUU